GGGAAUGUGGCUCAGUGGUAGAGUGCUUGCCUUGCAUGCAUGAGGCCCUUGUUCAAUUCCU
rfam:Dipodomys ordii contig_39901, whole genome shotgun sequence.